rnacentral:rRNA from 1 species
GACGUAGGGUGCAAGCGUUGUCCGGAUUUAUUGGGCGUAAAGAGCUCGUAGGCGGCUUGUUGCGUCGACUGUGAAAACCCGCGGCUUAACCGCGGGCUUGCAGUUGAUACGGGCAGGCUAGAGUUCGGUAGGGGGAGACUGGAAUUCCUGGUGUAGCGGUGAAAUGCGCAGAUAUCAGGAGGAACACCGGUGGCGAAGGCGGGACUCUGGGCCGAUACUGACGCUGAGGAGCGAAAGCGUGGGGAGCAAACAGG